rnacentral:rRNA from 1 species
GACGAACGCUGGCGGCGUGCUUAACACAUGCAAGUCGAACGGAAAGGCCCUGCUUUUGUGGGGUGCUUGAGUGGCGAACGGGUGAGUAACACGUGAGUAACCUGCCCUUGACUUUGGGAUAACUUCAGGAAACUGGGGCUAAUACCGGAUAGGAGCUCCUGCUGCAUGGUGGGGGUUGGAAAGUUUCGGCGGUUGGGGAUGGACUCGCGGGUUAUCAGCUUGUUGGUGGGGUAGUGGAUUACCAAGGCUUUGACGGGUAGCCGGCCUGAGAGGGUGGCCGGCCACAUUGGGACUGAGAUACGGCCCAGACUCCUACGGGAGGCAGCAGUGGGGAGUAUUGCACAAUGGGCGGAAGCCUGAUGCAGCAACGCCGCGUGCGGGAUGACGGCCUUCGGGUUGUAAACCGCUUUCGCCUGUGACGAAGCGUGAGUGACGGUAAUGGGUAAAGAAGCACCGGCUAACUACGUG